AUCUUAGAAAUAUCACGUCACGUCUGGCUUCCUAGAGAACAUCCUUAUCUCUGGGCUUCUGAAAUCAAAUGUCUGUGCAUUUAUAGAGCAUUUCCCCUCUUUUUAUGUGCCUCCCACAGUGAUCUUCCACCCUGCCCCACGGCAAGAAGAGUUUGGUGAUUUUGCUGCUCUGCUCUCUCAAGGGUGUUGCAGGCUGCGUAGCAGGGAGUGAAGCCCUUGUCGCUGCUCAUCAGACACUUUCCUGCAGAAUUCUCCCUGCAGUGAUAAAAUUAGACUGGUGUUAGUGAGCUGCCAAGUAGAGCAGGUAACAUUGGACAAGAAUGGUUUCUGAGCUGCUGUUCACUAGCACGUGUUUCCCCUUUCCAGCGCGGUGCCGCCGCCCAAGAAAGGAUUUUUGUGGGUCAGCCAGAUGUGCUCCUGCCUCCCACUGAGGCUCUGAGAUGGAGCCGAGUUUGCAUUCCAGUUUAUUGCAACAGAGGGUCACGGGAAAUUUCCUCAGCUAUCUCAGGCACAGAGCCAUGGAAGCAAGACAGCACGAAGACUGAACGUGUAAGAAGAUGUGGGGUGCAAUGGAGAACCUGGCAGGAGCAUCCGACGCACACGUGCACGAGUUUUGCUUUUUGCUUGGAUUGAAACUCAAAAGUUGUAAGGAAUUUGGGAAUGAGAUGGGACGUUUCAGAAGAAGAGGAAGGAGGAGAAGAAGUUGUUGUUACAGUCCUGGCAAAAUCCUUUGUUCUAGCUAAUAAAAGAAGUUA